ACGGCUCAUUAAAUCAGUCGUGGUCCAAAUGGGCUAGUGUUAUCUUACUUGGAUAACUGUGGUAAUUCCAGAGCUAAUACAUGCAACUGUAAGUCCGAGUGGCCUGUGUGGCAACACACUUGCUGCGACGACUGCUUUUAUUAGACCAAACCGCUGAGAGAUGCGCAUUUACUGUGUGUCUCGUAGACUCGUGUUAUGGUGACUCUGAAUAACACCUCAUGACAAGCGCACGUAUCCAUUUAUUUGGGACGGCGCUGCCACUUUCGAGUGUCUGCCUUAUCAGCUAUGAAUCGUUCGUUAUGUGCGACCGAUGGCUUUGACGGGUAACGGGGAAUCAGGGUUCGAUUCCGGAGAGGCAGCCUGAGAAACGGCUACCACGUCCAAGGACGGCAGCAGGCACGCAAAUUACCCAAUCCCAGCAACUGGGGGAGGUAGUGACGAAAUCUAACGAUGCGGGCGCCCCUUCUGGGGCCCCGCAAUCGGAAUGAGCGUUUUUUUCUAAACAUACCGUUGAGAACCUACUGAAGGGCAAGUCUGGUGCCAGCAGCCGCGGUAAUUCCAGCUUCAGCAGCAUCUACUAAAGUUGCUGCGGUUAAAAGGCUCGCAGUUGAAUGUCAGUAUCAAGUGCAGCGAUGGUGGACGUUGGAGUGUGGGUUAGUUAGUUGGGGAUCGUGCUUGGCUUCGGCUCUGUUCAUCUUCGGCUUCUGCUCGCUUUAACUCCCGUCCGUUUCAAGCCUCCUCACUUGCUUACAAAAUGGAAUCUAAUGGUGGAAGUGUUUUAUACUCUUCAUGCACGAGCUCUUGUGUGCGCUGGCUCUUACGUUGGUGUGCCUUGGGUGAGUGUGUGUCGGUGUCUCUGUAAGCUGGAUUUCAAUGUCACCUUGAGUAAAUCAGAGUGCUCAAAGCAGUCGUAAAGGAUGUGCGGCGUUAACGCGUCGUACGUUCUGUGAUGAAUGUCUAUUAUGACAGACGGUCUUGAUUUUGCAUGGUAUGUCGAAAGACGCCGUAUUUCCUGUUGGUAACGAGUCUGGUGCGGGCUCGCAUCCAGGGGCCUCUCUCUCUUUACCGAGAGGGUGUGUCUUUGAGUGUGACACACGAGACCAACAGGUGCGGAAUGAUUAAAAGGUUCGGUCGAGGGCAUUGGUAUUGCGAGGCGAGAGGUGAAAUUCUAUGACCCCCGCAAGACCUCCUGAAGCGAAAGCGUCUGCCAAGGACGUCUCAUAAUCAUGAACGACCAGGCGUGGAGCCUGCGGCUUAAUUUGACUCAACACGGGCCAUCUCACCAGGCCAGCACUCUUGUACGAUUGACAGAUUGAGAGUUCUUUCUCGAUUCAGUGGAUGGUGGUGCAUGGCCGUUCUUAGUUGGUGGAGUGAUCUGUCUGGUUAAUUCCGAUAACGAACGAGACUCUCCCCUGCUAAAUAGUCGGUUGGAUUUUGCGUUCGAGGGUGUUGUGUGACUUUUGGGUUUUGUGUGGGUGUGCAUUUUAUGUGCGCUCGCGCGGCUCAUUGUUGCACCUCCCUCCAAGUCCGCCGCUUACUUACACAAGUGGAGUGUAACAGCAAAGCGAUAUGAGUAAAACUCUUCUUAGAGGGAUUCACGGUUCUGAAGCCGUAAGAAACUGAGAGCAAUAACAGGUCUGUGAUGCCCUUAGAUGUUCUGGGCCGCACGCGCGCUACAAUGCCGGGCACAGCAGGUAUCUAUCCUUCUCCGAGAGGAGUGGGUAACCCUCUGAAAGCCCUUGAAACAAUUUACCAGAGUAGAGGCAUCACUUCGCGUGUUGUCUCUGCUUCCUUGGCUUGCUUGGGCCUGUGGCUUGCAAUUUUUUCACACAAACGAGGAAUGCCUAGUAGCGGCGGAUCACUGAGUUCGCUGUGACUCAGUCCCUGCCCUUUGUACACACCGCCCGUCGCUACUACCGAUUGGGUGUACCAGUGAGAUCCUUGGACUGGCGAGCCUUGUGCUUUAGCAAUAGAGUGCAAGUGUGUACGACGGAAAGAGGUUCGAACUGGUGCACUUAGAGGAAGUAAAAGUCGUAACAAGGUUUCCGUAGGUGAACCUG
rnacentral:rRNA from 1 species